GGACACAUUUAAGAAAGAA
rnacentral:snRNA from 1 species